UACAGAGGUCCCAAGCGUUGUUCGGAUUCACUGGGCGUAAAGGGUGCGUAGGUGGUCGGGUAAGUUUGAUGUGAAAGCUCCGAGCUUAACUCGGAAAUUGCAUUGAAUACUAUUCGGCUAGAGGGUUGGAGGGGGGACUGGAAUUCUCGGUGUAGCAGUGAAAUGCGUAGAUAUCGAGAGGAACACCAGUGGCGAAGGCGAGUCCCUGGACAACUCCUGACACUGAGGCACGAAAGCUGGGGAGCAAACAGG
rnacentral:rRNA from 1 species